rnacentral:rRNA from 1 species
AGCCAUUGCAAAGUCGAACGGUAAGAGAGGAGCUUAGCUUUUCUCCUAGAGUGGCGGACUGGUGAGUAACGCGUGGGUGACCUGCCCUAAAGAUGGGGAUAGCUAGUAGAAAUAUUAGAUAAUACCGAAUGUGCUCAUUUACAUAAAGGUAGGUGAGGAAAGGGAGCUACGGCUCCGCUUUAGGAUGGGCCCGCGUCCCAUUAGCUAGUUGGUGAGGUAACGGCCCACCAAGGCAACGAUGGGUAUCCGGCCUGAGAGGGUGAACGGACACAUUGGGACUGAGAUACGGCCCAAACUCCUACGGGAGGCAGCAGCUAAGAAUCUUCCGCAAUGGACGAAAGUCUGACGGAGCGACGCCGUGUGAAUGAAGAAGGCCGAAAGGUUGUAAAAUUCUUUUGCAGAUGAAGAAUAAGGAUAAGAGGGAAUGCUUGUCCGAUGACGGUAGUUAUGCGAAUAAGCCCCGGCUAAUUACGUGCCAGCAGCCGCGGUAACACGUAAGGGGCGAGCGUUGUUCGGAAUUAUUGGGCGUAAAGGGCAUGUAGGCGGUUAGGUAAGCCUGAUGUGAAAUCUACGAGCUUAACUCGUAAACUGCAUUGGGUACUGCUUGACUUGAAUCACGGAGGGGAAA